rnacentral:rRNA from 1 species
GAUGAACGCUGGCGGCGUGCCUAAUACAUGCAAGUCGAGCGAACAGAUGAGGAGCUUGCUCCUCUGACGUUAGCGGCGGACGGGUGAGUAACACGUGGAUAACCUACCUAUAAGACUGGGAUAACUUCGGGAAACCGGAGCUAAUACCGGAUAAUAUAUUGAACCGCAUGGUUCAAUAGUGAAAGACGGUUUUGCUGUCACUUAUAGAUGGAUCCGCGCCGCAUUAGCUAGUUGGUAAGGUAACGGCUUACCAAGGCAACGAUGCGUAGCCGACCUGAGAGGGUGAUCGGCCACACUGGAACUGAGACACGGUCCAGACUCCUACGGGAGGCAGCAGUAGGGAAUCUUCCGCAAUGGGCGAAAGCCUGACGGAGCAACGCCGCGUGAGUGAUGAAGGUCUUCGGAUCGUAAACCUCUGUUAUUAGGGAAGAACAAAUGUGUAAGUAACUAUGCACGUCUUGACGGUACCUAAUCAGAAAGCCACGGCUAACUACGU